UAGUAUUUUUCUUAUCAGUCAACUCAAAAGCAGCAGUUUGGCUGACUCCAGUGACUAUGUUGGAUUUUUUUUAUAGUUCAAGGCUAAUGAGUUCUUUUUGUUGUAGAAUUCUCCUAGCACUUCCUCCACUGUCUCCAGUAGCUCAUAUUCUUUUGAGUUUGAAAGGCUGGAAUAAGUUUGGAGGUGUACUGCACAUCCCUAAAGCAUUGCCCUCUUAUCAGCAGUGAUGCCUUCCAGAAAGGCAUGGGAAGAUGGGAAAGGGUGCCUUGUAACUUCCAUGAUGUUUGAAAUUAGGCAUAAGUUCCUACAGAUACACAAACACCUGGGCUAUGCCAGAGGCUGUCCUGUCUAGAUGGUUUGGAAUGGCUAUUAAAAUCAUAGAAUGGCUGUUAAAAUCCAUGUGGAGCAGAGAUGAGCCAAUCCAGUAGCUGCUUCCGGGCGGCAAUCAAGUUGCCACCAUUAGUUCAGGAACUAUAACUUUCACAGAGAGAAUAAUUAACCUUUUAACUUGACUAUUGUUCUACUGAGCUUAAAGUCACCUCUCUGUCUUCAUCUCUUCUGGCUGGACUCCCUUCCAGCUCCCUUUCUACUGCAGAUUUAAAGAAAAAUCUCACAAUGCAUUUUAUUUUUUGUCAGUCUGUGCUUCCCGAGCUGGCUGCCUUGUAGUCAAGGCAGGGGGGUUGGACUAGAUGACCUAUAAAGGUCCUUUCCAACGCGAACUAUUCUAUGAUUCUAUGAUACUUCUCUCUAUGAUUCUAUGAUACUUCUCUCUUUUUAUAGCAGAAAAGAUCCUGCAAUUCUUUUAUCUAGAAAGUAGGAUGAAAUGAGCUGCAUAUGCUGUAUCAGAAUAUCACAUCGGGAUUCACCCGCCUUUAUGUCUGGAGGUAUAUAUGAAGUGGAGCAGCGCGCUUCACAAUCACUCAGAGAAAACAGAUCUAUGCUGAUCUGCAAAAGAGAGAAAAACCCAGUCUGCUUUCAGUAAUACAUAAUGAACUGGAGGUGCCCAAGUCAGAUGGCAAGCAGUGGUUCUUGUGACAUGCAAUAAGUUAGAAAUACCAGUGAUUACCCAUGAACUUGCAGCAGAGGCAAAAUUUUCAAUGAUAAGCCAGUUCUGAAGAGAUUCUGAAAGUCUGCCUGAAUAUAUGCUGAGUGCUUGUGUGAAAGAGUGGGUGUUCAUAGAGGAGAAACCAAAGAUUGGAGUCAGAACAGUUACUUAAAACACUUUAUGGAGAAAUAAAGCACAAAGUCCCCCACAUCUCUGGCCUUAGGCAUUGGUCAGCUCUAGAGAAACCUCUUUCCAAAGUGUUUUACUAAACUCUUUCAGUUUAGGGGUAUUUUAUUUCCUGUCUCACACAGAGAUUUUUCAGGUGACCUGGGCUUUAGUAUGACUGUUAAUAUAUUCUCUCCACCAGAACAUGCUCCAAUGCUAACAGGUAACCAAAUACUGGAUAAUACUUUUUAAUACAAAUCUGGUUGUCCCAAGGGAUAUUGUUCUACUUGGGAACUGGCAUGAAUUAUCUUCUGAAGGUUUUUCACUGAGUUCCAUAGAAAAUUAACUCAAUUUAUAAGGCAAAAUAAGAUUUUUCUCACUGUCAAGUCUGCACUGAACAGAGUAUCUUAAAAUCAAACUACAUUUUUUCUGCCAUGUAGUUCAUAACUUAGUUUUGAUAGCAAUAGAUAUUCUGAGAUCGGGACUGAACUGCCAUUUUAUUGCUAAAGCAUAAGGGGACACAGGCUGUAUCUUGCUUUUUCUACAGCUGUAUUGAUUAUCAAGCCUUUUAGUAAUGAAAAAAAAAAUCAGAAAAGAAAGGACACAGUAGGCGUUGCCAAGUGGAAAUGGUUAAUACUAGAGAAGUAACCUGCUUCUGACAAGAGUCUGUCUCUGACACUGCAGGGAAAAACUAAACUAUUUGUAAUACAUGUAUCUAACUGUGUAAUAUCAUAAUUUAUCUUUGAAGGCCAUCAAAUUAACUAAACAAACAAAAUAUUUAGGUUAAUCUUGAAAUACCACUUUAGUGUGCACAGUAGUUUUACUGACAGUCUCCUCCAAAGCCUACUGACAUCACAGUAAAAUUUUCUGUUGUUUUAUACUAAGUCAGGACAAAUAAUUAAGUUACUGAGUCAAAGCUGGCUAAGUGUACAUAGAAAGUGCUAGAAAAUGCCUUGCUUUUACAGACCUCCUAUCUGUAACUGCACCCAUCAGUGGUAGAAUGUUUUCUUCUUUUAACGUAUUUUGCAUGAUCAAACUCUAUUAUUUGAAGCCAUACUCAUUAUAUAUAGCCCUGGUUUUUGCUGGACACAACCUAUCACCCAUUCUGAGUGUCCUUUCUUUGUUAAAUGCAGUGAAAAUACCAGUAAACAGCAAACAGACUGGAAGAAACUACCUGACACACUGAAUGACCAGAGCUGAUGAUCCAUCUGGUCUGGUCCUCUCUGCCUAAUAAACUGCUGGUGCUUCCAUUGCACAGAAUGAGAGAGGCUAUAAUUACUGAUUACUUCUCAAGCUGUUCUUCUAGGUUCCUUUAAGCCAGAUGGAAAAGAUGGGAUUUUCCAGGAUCUGCUUGAAGGAACACAUGGCAAUAGUUCUGGGAGAAGGAACAUGAGGAUGGCUUGCUCUCUAGAGUAGCAGUGGGAGGAAGAUGCAGAAGAGGAACCGUGCACAAAGAACCAUGGCGUUAUUUAGGCUGGUGUUGCUGGAGCCUUCUCAAGAUGUGAUGGUGAUGAAACACUCCCUUGGGCACGUAUAAACACGCAAAGGAGAGCAUCAAGCAGCAAUCUCUACUAGGGCCCGGGUUUGCUUCUGAUUUAAUGUGUCCAUUUAAACACUUGUUAUAAUUUAGUAGGAACUCAGCAUCUUCUGGUCUGUUAGAAGAACUCCUGACAAUGGUAGUGGUAGCAUAGUGUCCCCUGGGGCACAAGCCUUACGGGCAAAUAUUUCCCUCCUGGCCUUCACGGUACGUUAAAACAUGGAAGAGUUAGAAGCUUUACAGCAAUCAAGACCUGUGCACACCACAGAUGUUUCCCGGGUGUGCGGUACAGGUUCCGUUCCCGAGCAGCAGAUGGCAGUGAAGUUAAACAAAUGGAAAAAAAAAAAUAUAUAUAUACAUAUAUAUGUAUAGAGAGAGAGAGAGAAAGAGAGAGAGAGAGAGAGAGAGAGAGGGGAGAAGUGUUUUGCCUGCUGGCUGGUGUUCCUGCAGCAAGCUCAUCGAGCUCCGUGCAUAUUCAGACAGUGCAAGGUUCAUUUCCAGUGCACAGAUCACCCGUGGCACAGUCAGACAGAAGUGUGCAGUCAGAGUAAAUCUGAACAACUCCGGGUGUGUCUUCGUUUGAGCUGCCUGACAGAGAGGCCUGCAGACUGCACCGCUGCCGCACAACUGGUGCGGCAUGUGGGCUUAAUUUACAGCUGGAGAUACCCUGGAACGUGACAGGAGAUGGGGCACCAGGACCAGAGAGUGCCCACGGUGCAGAGUUGCUGGAGAGAUGUAUCACCCUCGUGGUGGGAGAUGGGAGAUGACAGCACAGUGUGUGACCCUCGCUAUCAACAUACAACUCUGCAUACCAGUAAUCCAGCUUCAGCCCAAGUGAUUUGAAUGCCCUGAACCAUUCUGAGUGUCUGCAUUAGAAGUUUGCCCCAGUCUAAAUGCAGUGCAGCGUUUUUAGAUGGGCCUUAGUGAAGCUCUUUGGCUCCCUGUGUGUAGAUGGGCACACAGAAUCUGCCAAAAAAAUGUUCAGCCAACAAGGGAGUGUCAAGAGGAUUUUAUACAGGUAAAAACAGAUUUGAAGGAACUCAGUGGUUAAGUCAAUGUUCAUUUUACUUUGUAGUUCCCCUUAACUGAUCUUCUAGGUGAGCCAAAACCCUCAAGAUAAGACAUGUGUGCAAAAGAUAUAAACCUGCGAAAUGGUGGACAAAUAGCUUCUCCUCCUAUAGUAAAAUGAAGCAGCAGCUACUUGUGAAAAGAAUCCAUGUGCCAAAUCUGUAAAUAUGCUCUACCUCUUUUUAUGCUGCUGCUAUAAUUAAUGUAAGAACCUUUAAAAUUCCUAUCAGAUACUUACACUUGUUAUAGCAACAUAUUUAAUUCCAGAGCUACAUCUUUUAGCAGAUUCUUUUACUUCAUUCAAAUUACUAAUCAUUUAGAUUCUCUCUGAAAGUCUUUCCUCCCUUGCUCCCCAUGCAUGCUUAACCUAAUUAACUAUAAAUGAGAAAAAAUGCUGUUCACAUAAAAAGAAAAUGUUAACCUAUAAAUUAUCCAGUGCUCCCUCCUGAGGCUGGCAACGCCUCUUGCAGAAAUGCUCAAAUGUUGGUGCAGUAUUCUUGGCUUCCUAUCCAGAUUCUGCCACCCAAAAUCAUUUACUACAACACAUUACUCUGCCAUUUUGUACAUCUGGCAACAUUUGCUGAUACUAAGUCCUCUCUCGUGCUUUCAAGAUUACACGGAGGAGGAUUUCCAGGAUGAUUAAUUGGAGAGAGAAAAUCAUUCCUUUACAUUUCAAGGAACAUUUGCAGAAGACUAAUGGUCAUUUAUGGAAAUAUGGCCUCUUUAUACCCAUUAAUGUCUUCCAGUGCUCCCUGUGGGUCACAAAAUCAACCAUUCAUUUGUGUUUCUUUGCUGCCGUCAUCCCAAGUCCUCUCAGUUGUCGUCAUCAGCUGAAAAUCUGCUUUUCGAUGACCAGACUAAAAGGCCACUCAGGUCUGUGGGACUGAGCCAUCUAAGGGACAGAGUCCUUGCUCUAUAUGUUUCUUCUCAAAAUCCACUUUUUUUCCAGAGGUUCUCAACUGCACUUUGCCAAAUUCAACACGUGCCCAAGAACCAGGUCACACCACAGGCACCACCAGUGAUGCUGGGACCCAUGUGAAGACUGGCACUAGGCACUUCUGGGCACUUCUGCCACUGCAGGACUUUCUGUCAGUGUUCUGAGGCCACUAAUAGGCCUUAAUGGCUGAGGGAUUAGUACAACACAGUAUGUUGACCCAUUCUUUUCUCCUUUUGCCAAUUAACGUAGACAGUGCCCGGGCAACAGCCCCUUACUGGGACAUUUGUGUACACUCUUUCUUGGAACUGGCAUUUAACCAGCUCUUGUUUUCCUUUACUACCAGUCCCAUUGCACUGCUCAACCUUUACCCCAUGCUGCUGUCUAUGAGCUCCAAAACAGCUGUGUGUUAAACUGGGAAGGACAAGGUGCUUACAAAUGAGCUCGGAUGUUUGGGUUAUCACAUGUUAAUAGAAAUUUUUUUCCUCAUCUUAUCCUUAUUUUUUCUCACUUUGAUUUAACAGAAGAUUUUUUGAAAGUACAUGUAUGUUGAAUAAAAGGCAUAGUGUUAUCAAACUGUCUACACAUAAGUUGUAUUAUGUUUGAUAAUACUAUCCAUGUAAUGAACCUGCUGUCAGUAACUGAGUUCUCAGUUGUUCCACAUCUGUAUGACAGGGUGUUUCUCUGUGGUGACCUGAAAACGAGGAAGAUCAUUCUAUGACCUGAAGCAGACGCCAGUGCUGUCAUCUCUGCUCCCCACCAAGGGUUGUAGCCACAUCCCUUGAUAUCUCCCAUAUCCUGAGUUCAGACAACACGAGGAAGCUGAUGAUGGUUCAGACAAUGUCCAAGUCAUUCACAGGACGCUGGUCCCAAGCAUGUGUGGAGCUGCCACCUUCUAGUGGAGACAGCUGAUUCCAAAACAACCUCUCUUCCCAGAGAGCUCUACCUCCAGAGAGGUUUUGGCUGGAGGGCAGGAAUUAUUCUUUGAGCGCUGGCAGUCAGCCGACACCAUUGUCAGCUAUGGAUUGACAUCUGUGGUUUGUUACGGUUUCAUUUGCUAUCCAUAUAACUUGUCCUAGGUAUUUUAUGAAGCACAAAAUAACAAGACUAGGAGGUUUUGCCCUUCUUUGUUAUCAGAAGACACCUGCCCAACCAUAGAAGAAAAUGAAGAGGCAGAAAGGAGAAAUGGGGACAACACUGAUAAAACCAGGGAGGAAUGCUAUCUCAAAACACAGUAAGUUAAAGAGACAAAAUGCUUAUCUGUCCAUCCCCAGUUUCCUAAAACUUCCCCCAUUUCAAUAGUGCUUGGUCACAAGCUGAGAUGGGCCCUCCAGCUGUGGGGGUACAGCCUCACACCAAAACAGGACAGAGAAGUACAAUCUACUCGCCAUUCCUGAACACAGCAAAAAGAAAUGGAGAGAGAAAAACUCAGGAACAAACUACUGGCAUUUUGCUGUAGCUUUCUGGAUAGCAAGAUCAUCAAGACAUGGAUUUAACACACAUGUGUGCAUUGUGCACUUCAAGAAAUACUGUUGCCAUUGCACAAGUUAGUUGAAGUUAUUUUAAGCACACAAGUCUGCUAAAAUGCCAUUAUUAAAGACAUAUAUAAAGUUGAGGAGAAGAUAAUGUCAUCCAAUCUUUUCUUACCUUAACUUUGCUUCAGGAUGAGGCAAAUACAGAGCUUUAGCAGAAAAUGCAAAAGCCAUUCUAUGCACAUUUACUCAGGUUUUUACCUUAAUUUUCCCACAGGAAACCUCACACUCUUUUCCAUGGUCACUCAAAUGACAAAGCAGGACCAUCCCGCCCUGCAAACAUCCCCUCAUCAAACCCACCCACCCCAUUCUCUCCCCACAACCUCCCUCACUGCGAACACCUCUAUUUUGUGUUCCUGUAUCCAUGUCCCCACUCCCAUUUCCCUGCCCAGACACCGGACAUGUUCCCAUAGCCCCCCACCCAUGGAGCACCAGCCAGUCCUGAACUUCUCCAUGAACCCCAAU